UUAAGUGCUGCCCCUUUAAGAGUUUACGCACACACAAACGCGGGGAGAGCAGUGCACGUCGGAUACAGAGAGCGCAGUCACACACAGUCACACACACAGAGAAAGUGGAUAAUACUGUUAGGGAGAGGACGUUUACAGUUUUGUGUCAACUUGUGAGAAUGUAGUAGAUGCUUGUGGGGUGAUUUUGCUUAUCUGAUGGCUUAAUGUGCUGCUCAUGCGAUCUUUGAGGAAGGGGGAUUCAGACCACGCUAGUGGAGAUGGAGCAGGGGAGAGAAGCAGAUCAGGUCACACAGGUGCUAAUCGCUACGAGUGCUUCAGAGGAUCAAAACCAGUACAGAUAAGCCACUGCCGUUGUUUUGCACACAUUAAAUCGUUUAUUAAUGAAGUUUUGCACUACUGUAAGUCGAAUUGGCAUUUUGAGUUGGAUGUUUUGAUUAGAGGCAUUUACUGUAAAAUAAUUUAUUCUUCCACAAAUGAGAUGAAUAUAAAUAAAGAUAAAUAUUUUCCAUGGGAAUUGCCUCAGCUGUUCUUUGUUGUUGUCUACAUACACCCACGUGCUCAAAUUGAUACUAUUGCGACUUCCUGAUGCCUCCUAUAAGUCGCUCGAGAGGCAGUGAGGGUCCUUUAUAUUUGUGACGCGCUGGUGGCUUUAGACAGAGACACUGAGCCCAAGAUGUUAUAUGGAAAACUUUAUGUAACUUGAAGCAUGAAAAAACAAUACAGCAAUUUGUGUCUUUGAAUACCUGUUUUGUAUGGUGCCGAUUAUUGCGUUGGUGUGAUGAUUGUUGCGUGUGCCGUUGUGAUACAGUUUUGCGUUGCUUGGUUUGCGCUGCUG